UAAUACGGAGGGAGCAAGCGUUGUUCGGAAUUACUGGGCGUAAAGGGCGUGUAGGCGGUUUGGUAAGUCAGAUGUGAAAUCCAAUGGCUCAACCAUUUGAACUGCAUCUGAUACUGUCAAACUUGAGAGCAGUAGAGGAGAGCGGAAUUCCCAGUGUAGCGGUGGAAUGCGUAGAUAUUGGGAAGAACACCAGUGGCGAAGGCGGCUCUCUGGACUGGUUCUGACGCUGAGGCGCGAAAGCUAGGGGAGCAAACAGGAUUAGAUACCCUGGUAGUCCUAGCCGUAAACGAUGGGUACUAGGUGUUGGGUGCUUCCAUGCAUUCAGUGCCGUAGCUAACGCAUUAAGUACCCCGCCUGGGGAGUACGACCGCAAGGUUG
rnacentral:rRNA from 1 species